AUGAAUGUGUGCCUACCCCUCUGGGCCCCACUUCUAGCAGGUCACCCGGGUCUGUGUUGUCACCUUGAAACAUUUGAGAGAGCUGUGAGCUUCAGAAGAAAGAUCCUGCUGGCAGCAAGUAGGGGGCAUAACCUGAAGCAGGGUGAGUGUUAUGAAGCAGUUCAGAUGCAAAAUGAGGAGAUGACCCUCAACCAGAACAGCAGACUGGGGGAAGGAGAUCCAAGGAACCUGCAGGAGGAAUCACUGAGUGAAGAAGAUAGUGACUUAGCCCUAUUGGAGUGGAGUCCCCAUAAUUGGAGAAGCUUUCAGCUUUUGGAUAUCUCCAGUUUCAUCUAUUUAUGUGGUGGAAAUUUUGAAUCACAAACUCAGGUGAGCAAGUAUUGUGCUUUCUUUAAUUCCUAUCUCUUCCUUUGGUUUCUCACUCACAGCCCCUUCCUACCAAUUGAACACUAAGCAUCAGUCUUUCUGGGUGUUUCUAGUGAAAAGUGAAAGUUGCUCAGCUGUGUCCAACUCUUUGCAACUCCGUGGACUGUAGCCCUUUAGGCUCCUCUGUCCAUGAAAUUCCCCAGGCAAGAAUACUGGAGUGGGUAGCCGUUCCCUUCCCCAGGGGAUCUUCCCAACCCCAGGGAUCAAACCCAGGUCUCCAACAUUGCAGGUGGAUUCUUUACCAUCUGAGCCACCAGGGAAGCCCAAGAAUACUGGAGUGGGUAGCCUAUCCCUUCUCCAGGGGAUCUUCCCGUGCCGGAAAUUGAACUGCGGUCUUCUAACUUCUUCCCAGUUGGGCUUGUACCAUAGGAAUCUCACCAAGACAGGCGUCCAGGUGUUCCUUAACCACUGCCUGACAGUCAGACUACUGCCUCUGGCCCUAUCUUCCUAGACCCAAGGGCAUAAAGUAAAAGCCUAUUAACCCACUGUGGCCUGGACAAGGUUGGGGUUUCUUUGUUUGUUUUCUAGCCCACACACUGAUUUUUUUUUAAUCAGAACAUUUCGUAUUUUUUAAAAAUCUAAAUUU
rnacentral:lncRNA from 1 species